GUGCUCGCUUCUGCAACACAUACACUAAAAUUGGAACGAUACAGAGAAGAUUAGCAUGUCCCCUGCACAAGGAUGACAUGCAAAUUUGUGAAGCACUCCAUAUUUUA